GAAAUGCGAUAAGUAAUGUGAAUUGCAGAAUUCAGUGAAUCAUCGAAUCUUUGAACGCACAUUGCGCCCGCCAGUAUUCUGGCGGGCAUGCCUGUUCGAGCGUCAUUUCAACCAUCAAGCCCCCGGGCUUGUGUUGGGGACAUGCGGCUGCCGCAGGCCCCGAAAACCAGUGGCGGGCUCGCUGUCACACCGGGCGUAGUAGAUUUUUCGUCUCGCCCAGGGCGUGCUGCGGGUUCCGGCCGUUAAAAAGCCUCUCUUUUAACCCAAGGUUGACCUCGGAUCAGGUAGGAAGACCCGCUGAACUUAAGC
rnacentral:misc_RNA from 1 species